ACUCCUGAACUCAUGAUUUAGACUUGUAGGAAGAUAAAGGAGGCAGUUGUCAAUGAAAGUCUCACAUUUGUUGCCAACGGUUCACAGUUAAGAGGAGAAACGUUUCAUGCCGGUAAAAAAUAAAAAUGGCGGCCUCUGCUGGAUAAACGAUGUCCUUUUUCUGGUCUUUGUUAACUUUCGUACAAAAACAGAGGAAAUGAAUCAUGGCUCACACUGCAGGACACCCAACCUCCCCUCCCCCAGUAAAAAGUUCUCAAAACGUCCUCUGGAGAGCUGCACUCACCCAGAGAUUUAAUGCAGUGUGCUGAGCUUGUCUCAGUGAGCUAAUGUGCCUCCACCAACCCCUCGUCCCUCUCUGAUGACAUGGAUGAAGCACUGCCCCAUUUCCCCCGGCGGUGUGUGACACACAAACUGUGACUUCACUGGGAAUCUCUAAAGCUCCAAUCAGAAGGCCUUUAACCAGAAAAAGCUCCACAACCUUCCAGAAGUUUCUGAGGCAGGUCCAACCCAAACAGCAAAGGAUGAUGACUCUGGUGUUAAGAGACUGGCACGUGCUCAUCGGGCCUUUAAAAAACGAAGGGCUGAAAAAAGGGGGGGGAGCGCUCUCCGUGGUCCUGAAAUACACCGGGAGCUGUCCGUGGUGCUGAAAGCAGCCCUUAUAGCUCUGCGUGGUGAACGCCCUGCAUGGGAGCCCGGAUUGUGGAAAAGGAGGGGGGAAAGUGCAACUGAAAAAAAAAGGAAGAAUAAAAAUAAUAAAAACAA